rnacentral:rRNA from 1 species
UAAGGAUAUUGCACAAUGGGCGCAAGCCUGAUGCAGCAACGCCGCGUGCAGGAAGAAGGGUUUCGGCUCGUAAACUGCUUUUCUGCGGGACGAUGAUGACGGUACCGCAGGAAGAAGUCUCGGCUAACUACGUGCCAGCAGCCGCGGUAAAACGUAGGGGGCAAGCGUUAUCCGGAUUUACUGGGCGUAAAGGCGUGCAGGUGGUUUGCUAAGUGGUGCGUGAAAGCGCUCGGCUCAACCGGGCGAGGCCGUGCCAAACUGGCAGACUGGAAACAGGCAGAGGAAAGUGGAAUUCGGGGUGUAGUGGUGAAAUGCGUAGAGAUCCCGAGGAACUCCAGUGGCGAAGGCGACUUUCUGGGCCUGCUUUGACACUCAGACGCGAAAGCAUGGGGAGCGAACGGGAUUAGAAACCCCGGUAGUCCAUGCCGUAAAGAUGUCUACUGGGCGUUUGCCUCGCAAGAGGUGAGUGCCGCAGCCAACGCGAUAAGUA